UGGCUCAUAGCUCAAUGGGUAGAGCAGCGGCUUGUUAAUCCGCCGGUUGGUGGUUCGAAUCCACCUGGGCCAG
rnacentral:tRNA from 1 species